UCUGUCUCUGAUUCUGCCUACAUACGUUACCACUUUACAUGGCAUCCUCCAUUACUGCACCUUCUCUGUCCAAAUGAGAUUCUCUCGCGCUGGGCCCCACCAAUUCGCGGAAACUCCUCACCGUCCACGGAGAGGCUAUUCACGACGGAAAUCUUCUGUCCCGGAGACUCCUCUCGUUCGCUGGAAAUUCGAUGUGCACGAUAGACACAAACAGGUCGUACGAGGGAGAUGUGGAGGUGGCGAGGUAUCAGCUCGAAAGCUCGCGGCGCGGUUUUGGCUGCUUCGGUAUUCUGGUUUGAGAAGUGGAUCAUCUCAUCUGUUCGGCUAUGAGCCUGGUGUCAGGCAUGUUAACACUAGCAUGGAAUGUGUUGCUAUGAGCAAAAGUUGCAGUAGCUUUCUAUUCCUCGAUAGUUCAAAGUAUGGGUUACUGGAUAAGAGUGAGUCUUCUUUGCCAUAUGCCAAGUCUACGAUGGAGGGAUCAACAAAGUGGGACCCUGGGUGCUCAAGAAUCUCAAAUGACAUCCUCAGCUUCUACAGCCUCCGGAAGCUUGUUGAAGAACAAGCUAGCAAUUCGUCUGUUAUUUAUGCUGUGCAAGCAAAAUUACUGCAGGCUCAUCUAUGCAUUCGCAAACUUGAAGCUGAGAGGCAAUCCUCUAACAAGAAAGUCCAACGGUUACUCAAGAAGCUUGGAGAGGAAAGAAGCUCAUUUCAGAAAGAAGAGCGCCUGAAGAUACAUGCAGUUGUUGAUGAUUUAAAGCAUGAGCUUAGGAAGGAAAGGAAAAAAUGUCAAAGAAUGGGAUUUCUUAAUUCUCAGUUGGUCAAUGAACUGGCCAACAUCAAGUUAACUGCAAAGCAAUUCAUCCUAAACUAUGAGGAAGAAAAAGAGGCUAGAGAGCUAAUGGAGGAAGUGUGUAAUGAGCUAGCUAAGAAAAUUGGAGAGGAUAACGCUGAAGUUGAGGCACUGAAGUUGGAAUCAUUGAGAAUCUGCGAAGAAGUGGAGGAAGAGAGCAAUAUGUUGCAACUGGCUGAGGUCUGGAGAGAAGAACGUGUCCAGAUGAAGCUGAUUGAUGCAAAAUUGUCUCUUGAACAUAAAUAUUCGCAGAUGAACAAGCUGAUAACAGACCUUGAAACCUUCCUAAGGUCAGGAAGUGCAAGGCUUAAUUCAACGGAGUUAAGGAGAGGUGAAUUGAUUUUAGAGGCGGCUAAAUCAAUGAAUAUUCAAGACAUCAAGGAACUUCGAUACAUGCCCCCAAAACCAGGUGAUUUAUAUUCAGUUAUGAAAGAACUCCAUCAAGUUGAAGCUAGUAAGACGGAAGUUAGACCAUGUCUUUACAACAUUCCUCCUAGUAACGUUCCUGGCAUCCUCUCAAAUGAUUUUAUUAAUCAUAACAGUACCCCGACUAAUGCUACCAGGAGUGAAAAAUCUUCGAGUAGUUUGGAGGAACAGGGUUCAAGUUCCUCCCUUGAAAGUGAACCCUCUGUCAACUAGAUUAGCCAUGCCAAAGGUUCAAUGAGGAGUAGCGCAGAAUGUAAACAAAAUGCAGCUACUGAAUUUGCAGAUACACAACCAAGUGAGGUCUUCUCAGCAUCAGCAGAACAGUUGAAGCAGAAGGCUAGCAUAUCAAAGCUUCUAAGAUUGUGUCCAAGUAAUGGCAAGUUUUAUGAUACAACGAUAUCAGAAGACAGUUAGCGAAGCUUUUCAAAUGGGACAAUUACUACUCUGGGGACUGGGGAGAGUCUCUUCAAAUAGAAGGUUGUCUUUCCAAAGCCAUUAUAGGAUUUGCUAAGAGGUCACAAGGAGUCCAAAAGAAUAAUAUGAAGGCUAAGCUUUUGGAAGCCAGGGUAGAAAGCCAGAAGCUCGAUCGCGGAAUUGCUCUUAGACGCUAGAUGAACUAUACCUCCCUCAAUUGUUGUGGCAGAGUUAUUGGUGAUAGAGCAUGGUUGAUGGCCGAAAGCCAUCUUGAAGGCUGUGUCUCUAGAGGAAACCUUUUAAGAUCUAAAGAGCUGCAGAUCCCCUGAUAUCAAGUCCUCUUGGAGGCUGCUUCUUAGUUGUAACUUGAUCAGUUUCAGGCUCAAAACAGUGACUGAUUGUUAAGUGUUAUGGAGGCAUGGGGUCUUGAGAUAUUAGUGGUGAGCAGAAUAAUGAAAAGAUGCCAACCAAAUCAAUCACUCACCCAUUUUAGCCAAACAAGCCACACUCUUCAAGAUCAGAAAAAGAAGAAAUUGACCUGCCUCAAGUGCUGCAACCACAAGUUCAGAUAGCUUAAUCAGUGGUGAUGAGAGAUGAUCACAUGCAAGCUUGUUUUGUUGAGAGAGGUUAUAUGGGGAAUUGGGGAGUUUGAGUAAGCAGCUGAGAUUCUGAUUCUGCAGCAAGAAAAUGAGGCACAAAGAUCUUGUCUUUUUGGCAAAAACCCAAAAGCUGUGGAACUCCACACAUGCUGAGUGCCAGGUACUGUCAUGACUCUGGUAGUUCUUCUCAGGGUUGUCAUGUUUUUGCUUUUGACACACUCUCUAAAUUCCAAACUCUUACUCACCAUUGG